AGGCUCCCUCCUCCUCCUCCACCUUCUUUUUCUUCUUCUUCGACCAUCGUCAGCUCCUCCAGGCCGAAUGAUUCGGUGAAUCCGUUCAGAUCACUUGCAGCAAGGGAUCCCCUUCCCCCGACAUGGAGAGACCCCAUUCAUGCAAUGCGCCGCAUGUCAGAUGAGCGAAUUGGGGCCGGGAAGGAAGUUCACACCUGGCUGGGAGAGAAGGGGGUAGCAGACUGAGAGGCAUCCUGAGGACCCCUGCGAUGCCAUUCAGAGCAGGGGACAGAACGACGCAGAGGAAGAUGGAGAGAUGUGUCAAGGGGCGUGGACACGCUUUCAACACCGACGGACAGACGGCUCAGCAAAUGAGCGAAUUGGGGAAAGGUGUUACCUGGACAAUGUAUUCAAUGAGAAGGGGAUAUCUCCCCUGGGGCCGGGAUGCCCGGGAGAUAAAAAAUUAACUUUCGGAUGAUGCCGAGGGACUUUUUUAGGUGGAGCAAGAGACAGUUAACUGCAAUUCGAUUAGCCAGGAGUGAUCUGUGGAUUGUGAAGCCUUAGAAGUCCUCGGCCGAGAAUGUAUACUCUGUAUCUGAACAGUUAUUAGUUAUCAACUAUUGGUAAUACUUUUUAUUAAAUACAUUUUAUUAAAACUUUUCGACUCCGGACAUUUUCUGCGGUUCAGCACCAGGGGAUUUUUGAAUACUUAACAGGAUAUAGCGACUGAAAGGAACACGACUUUAUACUUGCCGAAAACGUAAUCGAGCCAGGACGUGAAUGGGUCUGUGUCUAUACCAGAGUCUCAGCAAGCUCGUUAGAAAGGCUGGUGAGUCCUGCCGAUGCUCUGGUAAUGCUUCCAUCUGGGGCAGUGUUCUCUGGAAUAAAUGUACGACAGGUUUCCCCAAACAUUUUAACACACACACCCUUUUUCGGCCAACAACAUAUCUAGUGCCAUUCUUUUUUGCCAUGCAGUCAAAGAGGUCGCAUGGAGUUGUUCCGCCAAACCUUUUACGGCAUCACGGGCGUGGUUGAGGAAACGCUGUUGAUUGUAAUAGAUGUAAUUUAUCCAAUCCACAUUUUUGUUCGUGGUUAUCCAAAGGAAAAUGGAUUCAAAUCCAGCCCUAACCUGAUUACGGGCUUUGCCACGCUGGUCAUAACGGAGAUAAAAGAGAAUUUAACCUCCAGGUUCACUGUGGCAUCUAUAAAGAGAGUAUGUGCUAUUAUAAUGUGGAACCAAUAGAAAUGCAAGUGUUGAGGAAACUUUUGGGAUUGUGUGAGCAUCUCCAUUUGGGGUGGAAUUUAUUUGCAAGUUUAAAAAUAACGAGAUCCAACAAUCAACCUUUAAGCUUCUGAGUAUGUAUUAUAUAAAUAUGAAGAGGAGCAGAGGAGCACACAUGAAGGGCUCAUACUCUUCCUUCAGAGGGGUCGAGUAACACACACAAAUGUGUUUAUAGGGGGGGAUACCCAUAAAUCAUGAGAUUUCUCGGGAGGUUUAAUGAGUAUGCUGAGGAGUUUCACAAAAAGGGCCCUCAAAAGGUUCUCAAAAGCACAACAUCAUUAUAUUGAAUAUAAUAUGAUAUUCAAACCUGCAGCGAUUAUUGGACGCGCAACUUGUGAUUUCAAUCCUGCUUUUUCUUUGCAAGAAUAAAUGUCCUGAUUGAUAAUUUGUACACAAUUAAAAGGCAGUCCUUCUUUUCUGACA